rnacentral:rRNA from 1 species
GACGAACGCUGGCGGCGUGCUUAACACAUGCAAGUCGAGCGGUAAGGCCCUUUCGGGGGUACACGAGCGGCGAACGGGUGAGUAACACGUGGGUGACCUGCCCUCAGCUCUGGGAUAAGCCUGGGAAACCGGGUCUAAUACCGGAUAUGACUCCAUGACGCAUGUCGUGGGGUGGAAAGCCUUGUGCGGCUGAGGAUGGGCCCGCGGCCUAUCAGCUUGUUGGUGGGGUGANGGCCUACCAAGGCGACGACGGGUAGCCGGCCUGAGAGGGCGACCGGCCACACUGGGACUGAGACACGGCCCAGACUCCUACGGGAGGCAGCAGUGGGGAAUCUUGCGCAAUGGGCGAAAGCCUGACGCAGCGACGCCGCGUGAGGGAUGACGGCCUGG